AACGAACGCUGGCGGCAUGCUUAACACAUGCAAGUCGAACGAGACCGUCGGGCCUUGUUGCGCUCCUGUACGUAACACCUGGGAACUUACCCUUAGGUUCGGUAUAACUCCCUGUAAGGGAUGUUAAUACCGGUUAAUGUCAUCGGACCAAAGAUUUCCUGCCUUUGGGUGGGGGCGGGUUGGUUUAGCUGGUUGGUAGGGUAAAAGCCUACCAAGGCGACGAUCCAUAGCUGGUCUGUGAGGAUGAUCAUCCGCAAUGGGACUGAGACACGGACCAGACUGCGACGGGAGGCAGCAGUGGAGAGUAUUAGACGAGGAGCGAUAGCGUGGUCAAGCCAUGCGGCGUGAGUGAGGAAGGGCUUAGGAUUGUAAAUCUCUCUUACACGGGAUGUUAAUGACAGUAACGGGUAAAGAAGCUCCGGCUAACUACGUG
rnacentral:rRNA from 1 species